AGCCUGAUGCAGCGACGCCGCGUGAGGGAUGACGGCCUUCGGGUUGUAAACCUCUUUCAGCAGGGAAGAAGCGAAAGUGACGGUACCUGCAGAAGAAGCACCGGCUAACUACGUGCCAGCAGCCGCGGUAAUACGUAGGGUGCGAGCGUUAUCCGGAAUUAUUGGGCGUAAAGAGCUCGUAGGCGGUUUGUCACGUCUGUCGUGAAAGUCCGGGGCUUAACCCCGGAUCUGCGGUGGGUACGGGCAGACUAGAGUGCAGUAGGGGAGACUGGAAUUCCUGGUGUAGCGGUGGAAUGCGCAGAUAUCAGGAGGAACACCGAUGGCGAAGGCAGGUCUCUGGGCUGUAACUGACGCUGAGGAGCGAAAGCAUGGGGAGCGAACAGGAUUAGAUACCCUGGUAGUCCAUGCCGUAAACGUUGGGCACUAGGUGUGGGGACCAUUCCACGGUUUCCGCGCCGCAGCUAACGCAUUAAGUGCCCCGCCUGG
rnacentral:rRNA from 1 species